rnacentral:rRNA from 1 species
CCGCGGUACCCUAACCGUGCGAAGGUAGCGUAAUCACUUGUUCUUUAAAUGAGGACUAGUAUGAACGGCAUCACGAGGGUUGCACUGUCUCCCACUUCUAAUCAGUGAAACUGAUCCCCCCGUGAAGAAGCGGGGAUAAACCUAUAAGACGAGAAGACCCCAUGGAGCUUUAAACUCAGUACCAAUCACCUUAAAUCACACCACCAUAACCCGGUGUCUCUGGCUACUAGUUUUAGGUUGGGGUGACCACGGAGCAUAAUAAAACCUCCAUGUUGAAAACUUCCUCUAAUCCAAGAGUGACAACUCUAAGAAUCAAAAACUGACAUACAUUGACCCAAAUAUUUUGAUCAACGAACCAAGUUACCCUGGGGAUAACAGCGCAAUCCAUUUCAAGAGCUCCUAUCGACAAAUGGGUUUACGACCUCGAUGUUGGAUCAGGGUAUCCCAGUGGUGCAGCCGCUACUAAAGGUUCGUUUGUUCAACGAUUAAAACCCUACGUGAUCUGAGUUCAGACCGGA